rnacentral:rRNA from 1 species
GACGAACGCUGGCGGCGUGCUUAACACAUGCAAGUCGAACGGUUAAAGCCCCUUUUGGUGGGUUUCUCGUGGGGCACACCUGAGUAACACGUGGGCAUCCUCUCCCUUUCAUUUUGGUAUCACCUCGGAACCGUGGGUCUUAUCCCAUACUUGGAGACCUCCUGCUUGGAGAGUCUUGGAAAGUUCGGCGGUGUGGGAUGGGACCGCGGCUUGUUAGCUUGUUGGUGGGGUAAUGGCCUACCAAGGCCUUGACGGGUAGCUGGCCUGAGAGGGUGACCCGCCACAUUGGGACUGAGAUACGGCCCAGACUCCUACGGGAGGCAGCAGUGGGGAAUAUUGCACAAUGGGCGGAAGCCUGAUGCAGCAACGCCGCGUGCGGGAUGAAGGCCUUCGGGUUGUAAACCGCUUUCGCCAGUGACGAAGCGAGAGUGACGGUAAUGGGUAAAGAAGCACCGGCUAACUACGUG